rnacentral:rRNA from 1 species
AUUGAACGCUGGCGGCAGGCCUAACACAUGCAAGUCGAACGAGUGGCGGACGGGUGAGUAAUGUCUGGGAAACUGCCUGAUGGCGGGGGAUAACUACCGGAAACGGUCGCUAAUACCGCAUACCAUCAGAUGUGCCCAGAUGGGAUUAGCUUGUGGGUGGGGUAACGGCGCACCAAGGCGACGAUCCCUAGCUGGUCUGAGAGGAUGAGCAGCCACACUGGAACUGAUACACGGUCCAGACUCCGACGGGAGGCAGCAGUGGGGAAUAGUGCACAAUGGGCGCAAGCCUGAUGCAGCCAUGCCGCGUGUAUGAAGAAGGCCGUCGGGUUGUAAAGUACUUUCAGCGGGGAGGCGUUACCCGCAGAAGAAGCACCGGCUAACUCCGUGCCAGCAGCCGCGGUAAUUC